rnacentral:rRNA from 1 species
CACGUAGGGUGCGAGCGUUGUCCGGAAUUACUGGGCGUAAAGGGCUCGUAGGUGGCCAACUAAGUCAGACGUGAAAUCCCCAGGCUCAACUUGGGAACUGCGUCUGAUACUGGAUGGCUUGAAUUCGGGAGAGGGAUGCAGAAUUCCAGGUGUAGCGGUGAAAUGCGUAGAUAUCUGGAGGAAUACCGGUGGCGAAGGCGGCAUCCUGGACCGAGAUUGACACUGAUGAGCGAAAGCUAGGGGAGCAAACGGG